GGGAUUAUAGUAUAGUGGUCAGUAUAUCUCAUUGUGGUGGCAUCAUGUACUCUGAGACGACGCAGGUUCGAUUCCUGCUAAUCCCA